rnacentral:rRNA from 1 species
AUGGACUUCCGAGGAGGCGGGCCGACGAGGUGGCAUCAGCCGCAGCCUGCCGUCUCCGCCGGCUCCGAGGGGCUGGCGGCGCUAUCUGCCAGCCUCGCGCGGGCUCUGGCCGACAAGCACGCAAACAGCAACCUGGUCUUCUCGCCGCUGUCCAUCUACACCGCGCUCGCGCUCGUGGCUGCCGGCGCCCGCGGCGCCACCCUGGACGAGAUCCUCCUCGUCCUCGGCGUGCCAUCCCGCGGCGAGCUCGACGCGUUCGUCGCGCGCGCGGCGGGGGCCGCGCUGCAGGACCAGUCGGGCUCCGGCGGCCCGCGCGUGGCGUUCGCGUGCGGCGUCUGGAGCGACAUGGCCUGCCCGCUCAAGCCCGGGUUCCGCAGGGCCGUCGUCGACGGCCCGUAUGGGGCCGAGGCCUCCACCGUCGACUUCCGCGGCGACCCCGAGGGGUCGCGCCAGCUGAUCAACGCGUGGGCGGCGCGCGCCACCAACAGCCUGAUCGACUCCGUCCUCGGCCGGAACUCGGUGAACGAGCUCACGCGCGUCGUGCUCGGCAACGCCGUCUACUUCAAGGACAAGUGGGACCAGCCCUUCCACAAGAGCGACACCUCCGACGCGCCGUUCCGCCGGGCCGGCGGCGCCGGCGCCGUCGACGUGCCCUUCAUGCAGAGCUGGAAGAGGCAGUUCGUGGCUGUGCACGACGGGUUCAAGGUGCUCAAGCUCGAGUACAAGAUGGACACCAACGACGGCCUGCGCAGCCUGCUCGACGCGAUUGCCUCCCGGUCGGGCUUCCUGCACGAGCACCUGCCUACUCAGAAGGUGGACGUCGGCGAGUUCCGUGUGCCCAGGUUCAAGCUCUCCUUCCACGACAGCGUCGUCGGCGUCCUCAACAAGCUGGGCCUCCGCCUGCCGUUCAGCGAGGCGGCCGACCUGUCCGACAUGACGGGCCUCCCGCUGGUCCUCAGCGAGGUCAUCCACAAAGCGGUCAUCGAGGUGAACGAGGAGGGCACCAGGGCCGCGGCCGUCACCAUGGAGGAGGGGUGCGCUGCCAAGCCGAGGCCACCGCCACCGGUGGAUUUCGUCGCCGAUCAUCCAUUCGCCUACUUCAUUGUGGACGAGGGGACGGGCGCCGUCGUCUUCGCCGGCCAUGUCCUAGACCCCUCGACACAAUAA